CAUCGCCUCUUGACAAAAUAUAAGAGGUCCAGCCUGCCCAGUGACCAUGUUCAACGGCCGCGGUAUCCUAACCGUGCGAAGGUAGCGUAAUCACUUGUUCUUUAAAUGAGGACUAGUAUGAAUGGCACCACGAAGGUUAUACUGUCUCCUUUUUCUGAUCAGUGAAACUAAUCUCCCCGUGAAGAAGCUGGGAUUUUUUUAUAAGACGAGAAGACCCUAUGGAGCUUUAAACAGAAAAACAAUUGCUACCACAAUUAUUAAUUUCAGAAAACUAAACUUUAUCCUAGCAUUAUGAUUUUCAGUUUUAGGUUGGGGUGACCGCGGAGUAAAAUAUAACCUCCGCAUUGAAACGGAUUCUAUCCUAAGCAAAAAGCUACGACUUUAAGCAUCAACAAAUUGACACCAAUUGACCCAAUAUUUUGAUCAACGAACCAAGUUACCCUAGGGAUAACAGCGCAAUCCACUUCAAGAGCUCCUAUCGACAAGUGGGUUUACGACCUCGAUGUUGGAUCAGGGUAUCCCAGUGGUGCAGCCGCUACUAAAGGUUCGUUUGUUCAACGAUUAAAACCCUACGUGAUCU
rnacentral:rRNA from 2 species